ACUAAAUCAAAGGUGUGCUUGUGUUUAAUACAGGAAUGUGAUCAGAAUCAGAUACAUGAUGAAUUAAUCUGUUAUGUUCCAACGAAUUGUGAUUCACGCUCUCAGGUAUUAAGGCACAGUAUGACUUAUGAAUCAUGAUGUGAAAUUUGAGCAACGCGAGUGAUGUCGUGUCAGAUGCAGUUUCCCGACCACAUCAUACUCGACGAGCGCGGUUGUGUGGCGUCGCGUCGUUGCAGAGUAUUGUUAGACAUCAUCCACUAAACGAUGAUGGGGAUUUUAUUUCUGGACUACUUACGAUCCAAACAAGGAGUUCUGAAGGUCGCUCAGCUCGUGAUUCUCCUGAUAGCGUUCGCUUGCGUUCGUUCCACGUGGUACAACAGCUUCUACACUUACGGUUUCUUGGAAGGAGUCACGCUCGGUUACUCCAUCACGGUCGCCCUUUUUCUAUUCCUGACUGUAUUUGGGAUUCCGAAAAGGGCAUUAUUUGUGAACCGGACGAUAGCCGAGUUUGUGCUCGAUACAUUGGGAUUCAUCUUCAUCUCCACCGGUUCCAUUGUAGCUGCUGUGAAGUCUUAUGACACCCCCAUUCUGGUUGCCGCCUCAGUAAGGGCUUCAUCACAGUUAAAAGAUUCCAGUAAAAUGAAAAUUAAACAAAAAUGUGUGUGGUCUUCUGGUCUCAUAUCUCUCACUUGUUAGUGUGAUACUUUCAUUUGUUGCCACUCGCCGCACACAGCCUGCGGGUCCACCAGUAUAAAAACAUUGUCUUGAUGUUUAUAGUGCUUCUUCUGAAAUAUCUAACUGCCCUCAACACAUAACAGCUUGGAUCGGGAAUUGAUAAAGGAUAUGGUUGUUUUAGUACAUUUACAUGGAACAUAAAAGAUUUUGUGACAAUAUAAUUUUUUGCACACAUAGUUUAUUGCAGAGA
rnacentral:lncRNA from 1 species